AGAAACACAAGAAGCACAAGCACAAAGAAGCAGCCGAAGAAGAGCAAGGAGGAGGAGCCGGCGAGCAGGAAGGUGAAGACGGACAGGUGUCGACAGACGAGUUGCUAAAAAGACUAAAGAGCAUCCGCUCCCAUCAGAUGUGGUGAAUCAGUUGGAGGUCUGUCCUCUGUGAGGACCGUCAGUCAGCUGAUUGUUUCACCUGACAGAUUACCUGCUGUGUAGUUUUAGGUAAUAACAUAAAAUCUUUAUAACCAA